GACGAACGCUGGCGGCGUGCUUAACACAUGCAAGUCGAACGGAAAGGCCCCUUUGGGGGUCCUCGAGUGGCGAACGGGUGAGUAACACGUGAGUAACCUGCCCUUGACUUCGGGAUAACUUCAGGAAACUGGGGCUAAUACCGGAUAGGAAUCCUUGCUGCAUGGUGGGGGUUGGAAAGCUUCGGCGGUUUUGGAUGGACUCGCGGCUUAUCAGCUUGUUGGUGGGGUAGUGGCUUACCAAGGCUUUGACGGGUAGCCGGCCUGAGAGGGCGACCGGCCACAUUGGGACUGAGAGACGGCCCAGACUCCUACGGGAGGCAGCAGUGGGGAAUAUUGCACAAUGGGCGGAAGCCUGAUGCAGCAACGCCGCGGGCGGGAUGACGGCCUUCGGGUUGUAAACCGCUUUCAGCAGGGGCGAAGCUUGUGGUGACGGUACCUGCAGAAGAAGCACCGGCUAACUACGUG
rnacentral:rRNA from 1 species